rnacentral:lncRNA from 1 species
CUCAAGAUAUUAUUAUGUCUGUUUGCAAAGAAGCAAAGACGAGACAUUAGAAGCAUUUAAGCAAUACAAGAAUGAUGUUGAGAAUCAACUUAGCAAACGAAUAAAAGUUAUUUGUAGUGAUGGAAGUAGAGAAUAUGGAGCACCGUUUGAAGAAUUUGUUUGGAUUUUGGAAUUACUCAUCAAACUACAGCUCCUUAUUCACCUCAAUUGAAUGAUGUUGUUGAAUGUAAAUAUCUUACCCUUAAAGGGAUAUGAAUGCUAUGUUAAUUAGUUCUAGUUUAACUUGAAACUUGUAGAGGGUAAGUAAGUCUCUCAACCAACCACAUUCUUAAUAAAAUACCAUCUAGAUGUAAGAACGAAACUUCUUUCAAGUUAUGGAAAGAUUACAAACUUUCAUACAAAUACUUAAAAAUAUGGAUAUGUUUGGCUAAGGUAGCAGUGCCAAAGCUUAAACAAGUUAAAAUAUGGCAAAAAACUAUUUACUGAAUAUUUAUUGGAUACACUAAUAAUAAAUGCAUAUCGGUUCCUCGUAUAUAAGUUAGACAAUCCUGAUGUACAUGAGAAUACUAUCAUUGAAUUUAGGAAUGGUGUAUUUUUUAAAGACAAAUUUUCUUGUAAGGAUAGGAAAGAAGUUCACAAAAAUAAAAUUAUGUUACUAUAAUGGGUAGUCAUUAAAGUUAUGAAAAAUUACGAUGUAGUAAUAGGACCAAAACAGCUACAUCUUUUGGUCCAAAAUAUUUAACUUAUUUGUUAAAAAAUGAACUUAAGAUAAUCUAAUAAAACAAUGUCAAAUUCAGAAGCAUCAUUCUGUAAAGCGGCUAUUAAUAAUGAAAUUGUAUCUAUUAUGUGGUAUUAUACUUAGGAGUCGAUAGAUCUCAAUCCUAAUAACAAAUCAUUAGGCUGUAAAUGAAUUAUUAGAACAAAAUCAAAGAUUGAUGGAUUGAUUGAUAAUUAUAAGGCCAAAUUGGCAAUCAAAGGAUUUAAACAAAAAGAAGUUCUUGAAUAUUUCGAUAAACACUCACACAUUAUAGGGAUAAAGUCUAUUAGAGUAUUGAUUGCAACCAUAACAUUGCAUAAUUUAGAGAUUCAUCAUAUGGAUGUUUAAACAACUUUUUUAAACGGUGAGCUUGUAACGCCCCGAGUUCGAGGAACUCGUGACAUUACAAAGAACUUAAAUUUAUAAAAUUCUACCUAAAUAGUUCAUAAAAUGUAGAAAUUUAACUUGUAUUAAAAACAUUAAGGCUCUAGAGAACUCAUUACAAAAUUUAAGAAAUUUUCGUUCAGCAAGUUUAGACUUUCAGCUUGUACGACUUUCUGAAAUAAAUCUCGUUCAACAAAUAAAUGAAGUCCAAAAUUUACAAAAUUUUAACUGUAGAUAUCAUGCACAUAGGGGAAUUACAGGUUAAAAUUUCGUAGAUAAAUUCAAUCAAUAAAUUGGUCAAAAAUUCUUUCUAAAUCGGGGCAAUUUGUUCCCAGGUACAAUCUGACAGCUAUUGGGAAAAUUUUCAUAACUUGAGUUUUAUAGAUCCAAAAUUCAUGAUUCCAAAUCCAAGGGAUAGAUAACUUAUAUGGAUAUCUUUUUCAAUUCGAAUUACCUCAAAAUUCCAAGUAUUGAGAUCCGGGUGGAUUUUUAAACUUAGGCAGAAACUGGAAAUAUUUAGUUUCCAAUAGUGUAACUCAAAUGAACUGAAUCAAGCCACCAUAAAAAAAAUAUUAAGCAAGUUCAUCAUCAGAUCAGCUUCAAGUUUUCAAGAAACACUAAUUUAAAAUAUCCCGAAUUUAUCGGCCAUAGCAAAAUGUAAAAAAAUAGUGGCAAUAUAAAACAUAAGAAUAAAUUUCUCUAAAAAUAGUAUGUGCCAUUCAUGCCAAUCCACCACUGGAUCUCCGAUUAUUCUGAAAAGGGUUAAAUAAGGGUGAGCAUCUCAAAGAAAUACUAAGUAGGCUACACGUGUUAUAUGAACAUAAUAAUUGUCUAUUUGAUCUUGUAUUCUUGCAUUUUGCCUUCAUAAAUAAGUAAAUCGAUGAUCAAACGAUCUACCUAGGAUUUUGAUGAGCCUCUGCAACCAUCAGUUUAACAUAUACACUUAAGGUUCUGAUAAUCCUCUGCGACCAUCAGUUUAAACAUAUAUAAACCUUCCUUUCAUAAAAAAUUUAAGAUAAAAAUUCUAAGGGCACUUUAUGUACUUCAUGCAAUUAUAACGAAUAACGUGCUUAAUUGAAAACUAAAUUCAUAUAACGACAACUUCGCAUAGGGAUCCUACCUUAACUUGCAAUAAUAUAGUAGUGAGUGCGUUGAUCAAUUUCGAAUCUUCAACAUGAAAUAUAUUCUGCCUUUCUAUCUUUUCUUUUGUGUGGCAGCCAUAUCCAUAUGAUAUUUAUUCCAUGUGUGCUAUGCAUGUUAUGUAUCUAGAGUUAUCUAUCGUCAAUUGGAAUUCAUGAGUAAUUAGGAGUCUUUUCCAUGUCACUCACAAGGAUGAGAUAAGGACAGAUUUUAAACAAAAAAUGGUUUCCUAGUAAAGCUUGAAGUCCACAUGUGAAAG